AUUGAACGCUGGCGGAAUGCUUUACACAUGCAAGUCGAGCGGCAGCACGGGGGCAACCCUGGUGGCGAGCGGCGAACGGGUGAGUAAUACAUCGGAACAUGCCCAGUCGUGGGGGAUAACACUUCGAAAGAAGUGCUAAUACCGCAUACGUCCUGAGGGAGAAAGCGGGGGAUCUUCGGACCUCGCGCGAUUGGAUUGGCCGAUGUCAGAUAAGCUAGUUGGUGGGGUAAAGGCCUACCAAGGCAACGAUCUGUAGCUGGUCUGAGAGGAUGAUCAGCCACACUGGGACUGAGACACGGCCCAGACUCCUACGGGAGGCAGCAGUGGGGAAUUUUGGACAAUGGGGGCAACCCUGAUCCAGCCAUUCCGCGUGAGUGAAGAAGGCCUUCGGGUUGUAAAGCUCUUUCGGCAGGGACGAAACGGCGAGCUCUAACAUAGCUUGCUAAUGACGGUACCUGAAGAAGAAGCACCGGCUAACUACGUGCCAGCCGCCGCCGUAAGAC
rnacentral:rRNA from 1 species